rnacentral:rRNA from 1 species
GACGAACGCUGGCGGCGUGCCUAAUACAUGCAAGUAGAACGCUGAAGAGAGGAGCUUGCUCUUCUUGGAUGAGUUGCGAACGGGUGAGUAACGCGUAGGUAACCUGCCUUGUAGCGGGGGAUAACUAUUGGAAACGAUAGCUAAUACCGCAUAACAAUGGAUGACACAUGUCAUUUAUUUGAAAGGGGCAAUUGCUCCACUACAAGAUGGACCUGCGUUGUAUUAGCUAGUAGGUGAGGUAACGGCUCACCUAGGCGACGAUACAUAGCCGACCUGAGAGGGUGAUCGGCCACACUGGGACUGAGACACGGCCCAGACUCCUACGGGAGGCAGCAGUAGGGAAUCUUCGGCAAUGGGGGCAACCCUGACCGAGCAACGCCGCGUGAGUGAAGAAGGGUGUCGGAUCGUAAAGCUCUGUUGUAAGUCAAGAACGAGUGUGAGAGUGGAAAGUUUACACUGUGACGGUAGCUUACCAGAAAGGGACGGCUAACUACGUG